UACGGGGGGAGCAAGCGUUGUUCGGAUUUACUGGGCGUAAAGGGCGCGUAGGCGGCCACCGCAAGUCGGUUGUGAAAUCUCUGGGCUUAACCCAGAAAGGUCAACCGAUACUGCGGGGCUAGAGUGCAGAAGGGGCAACUGGAAUUCUCGGUGUAGCGGUGAAAUGCGUGGAUAUCGAGAGGAACACCGAUGGCGAAGGCAGUCCCCUGGGCCUGCACUGACGCUCAUGCACGAAAGCGUGGGGAGCAAACAGG
rnacentral:rRNA from 1 species